CAGAGGGUGCAAGCGUUGUCCGGAUUUACUGGGCGUAAAGCGUUUCGUAGGUGGCUUUAAAAGUUAUCUUUCAAAGUCCGAGGCUCAACCUCGGGAAGGGAGGUAAUACUGUAAGGCUGGAAAGUUAUCGGGGUUUUCGGAACUUGCGGUGUAGGGGUGAAAUCCGUUGAUAUCGCAAGGAACACCAAGGGCGAAGGCAGAAAACUAGGUAAUCUUUGACACUGAGGAACGACAGCUAGGGGAGCGAAAGGGAUUAGAGACCCCUGUAGUCCUAGCCGUAACGAUGCUCGCUAGGGAUGGGCCCCUUAAAAGGUCCGUUCCGUAAGCUAACGCGUUAAGCGAGCCGCCUGGGGAGUACGAUCGCAAGAUUA
rnacentral:rRNA from 1 species